CCAGAAAGCAUGCUGCUGUCACUUCUUCAGCAGCUGGCCCUGUGGCUAGUGGUGACCUCAAGGCUGGGCCCCAGCCAAGUACCAGGCCCCCGGUGGGGAUCCAGGUCGGGCUGCCUGCUCCUAAGUCUCCUGCCAAGGACAGGGCCCGAGAAUCCAGGAAGAGGACAGGAGGGAGACAUCUGCCCACUGUGGCUGGGUGGCUGUGGCCACCCAGGAGAAUCACCCAAGGAGAAUUCACCCAAGGAGAAGCAGCAAGGUACCAAACCAGCUAUCUGAGGCCUGUUUCUGCCGUCUCUGGGACUUUCCAAAUCCCUGAACCUUCAGGGUUCCCCCAGAAACCUGUUUGGAAGAGUCAAGAUUCUGGCAGGACCCAGGGGUGCACUUGGAUGGGACAGAAGGAAGGAGCUGAAUGAAGGCAUGACUCAAGAGUAUGGGCAGGAGAAGGGCAUCCAGAGGGCAGGAGUCCUCGGGGUUUGGUGACAGUGGAGCUGGGACUGUCCCAGCCCUGCAGGGCCAAGAAGGAAGGUGGGUUGACCAUGCAGCUCUUGAUGAAAAACACUCCCACUGUGUCAUGAUAGCUGGUGUCCAGGGUAUACAGCAGAGACACAGCAGACUUGUAUGAGUGUGUGUGUGUGUGUGUGUGUGUGAGUGAGUGUGAAGCAGGACUGCGUGCGUGUGAGUGUGUGAAUACGUUCUCCUGGGAUGCUCUCUCUACCAUUCAUUCUUCUACUAGUGACUUGGUCUUCAAGGCCUCCUCUUCACUGUCCUAAACUGUUGAGGCCGUAAAACUUAUAAAGAGGCUUAUUUGGCUCAUGCUUCUGGCCACUGGUGGGCACAGACGGCAUGACGCGGCAUCCUGGUGAGACCCCCUGACUGCAUCAGGACACGGCAGAGAAGCAGAAUCAGAUUCUGGCAUUGUGAGAAGGAGGAUUGGGGGACAUGCCGGGCUCCCUUAUGGACAGCCAGUCCCCUUCGGAAUGGAUCCCCCCUUAAUCCCUUCUGAGGACCAUGGCAUCCAGCUCGGGGGCCUGAUCACAGUGCCUUCUGGUACGCCUCACCUUUAAAAGGUGCAGCGCUGCCAACUGGGCACCUUGCUGUCAGCACACAAGCCACUGGGGACACACUUCAGUCCUACUCAAGACAGAGCACCCCACUUCUCCCUGCUCACCUGUCUCCAUUCCCCUCUGCCGGCCCGUUGUGGUGGAUUUAGGGGCAGGCACUAGGUCCUGAUUGCUCCAUGGAUCUUGCAUGGCGUAGCUCCACCAUCAGCAUCUGUGGGGCGAGUGACUCAGUCAUCCAGGAACUGUGGAACGAGGGAAAAAGUGUCAGUCUGAUAGGUAAAGGGGAAAAGGAAAGAAUAGAAAGUAGACAAAGCCGGGUGUGGUGGCGUACACUCAGUUUCCGCACUCUGGGAGGUGGAGGCUUUAUCACAAGUUCAAGCCCAGUCCAGGCAGAUCAAUCAAUCAAUAAAUAAGGGCUGGGGAUGAAGCUCAGUGCCUCCAGGCAGGGUAGAGGGGUGCAAAGGUGUGGUGACGUGGAGUGAGUGUGCCCCAUGGUGUGAGAUGCUGCCGAAGGCUGCACGCACCCCAAAUUGAGGACCACUCUGCAGCUGCAUCCCAGCUCCACGCGCCAGUCACACACGCCAUUUUGCUCUUGUCCAUGCCCGUCCUUCUGUGUGGAAUGUCCUGUCCUUUCUCAUCUUGCACUUAUUCCUAGGAGACUGUGUCAAAUGUCCUCUCCUCUGUGAACCCCCAGUUCACUCUCGCCCGGACCCCAGCCACCAGUCACCUUUCCUCAGCUCAGUGGGAGGUACGGGGGCGUGGGGGGUGGCAGCUCUCGCACACUGUGCUUUUAGCAGAGUGUUUACCGAAACCCUGUAAUCUUCUCUCCCAUGAGGCCCUCAAGGGCAGGGGCACUGUCUAACUCUUCUUGUCGGUACUCAAUGAGUUUAUCGAAUCCAGUGGAAGUUUCAAUAUUUCAAGCUCAGGUGUUCCAGAAACGUGGCUGGUGAGAAUCCUGCCCUGAGGGCCCAAUUUAUUUGAUGAUUUCAUUCAAAGGCCAAAGACAUAAGACCCAUAAAG
rnacentral:lncRNA from 1 species